UUGCCUGUACGUUAUCUUCAAAUAGUACACGGGCACGAAAAAAUACGUACUUUCUCUGAAAACUGGAGUAUAAAAAUUGCGAAUAUCGGUUUCCUAACAUUAAAAGUAACAACGUGCUCAAACAUACAAAUCGUGCAAUCAAUCAUCCUCAAUAAAAACCAACAAUGCAACGAUGUCUCGUAGCGUUUCUGCUUGCGGUUGUGUUCAUCAAUAUUUGUUCGCUCACACCAAUAUGUCCAGUAAAUGAAGAAUGAAACAUUUGUGGGCAAUUCUGUGAACCAGCUUGUGGUCCUCUAGCUACGCCUUCAAUAAUUUGCCACGAAAUAAUCUGCAAUAAGAAUUUGAUCGGUGGUUGUCGGUGUAUCAAUGGAACUUUCAGAAAUCAAGACAAUGUUUGUGUACUGCCAUUGUUAACUUAUGAUCAAUAGAUUUAAUCAUAGAUGGAAUGAUUUUUUAAUCAUAAAUAAAUUUC